AUUGAACGCUGGCGGAAUGCUUUACACAUGCAAGUCGAACGGCAGCACGGGUGCUUGCACCUGGUGGCGAGUGGCGAACGGGUGAGUAAUACAUCGGAACGUACCCUGACGUGGGGGAUAACACAGCGACAGUUGUGCUAAUACCGCAUACGUCCUGAGGGAGAAAGCGGGGGAUCGCAAGAACUCGCGCGUUAGGAGCGGCCGAUGGCGGAUUAGCUAGUUGGUGGGGUAAAGGCUCACCAAGGCGACGAUCCGUAGCUGGGCUGAGAGGACGACCAGCCCCACUGGAACUGAGACACGGUCCAGGCUCCUACGGGAGGCAGCAGUGGGGAAUUUUGGACAAUGGGCGAAAGCCUGAUCCAGCCAUUCCGCGCGAGUGAAGAAGGCCUUCGGGUUGUAAAGCUCUUUCGGCAGGAACGAAACGGUGUGGGCCAAUACCCUGCAUCAAUGACGGUACCUGAAGAAGAAGCACCGGCUAACUACGUGCCAGCCGCCGCAGUAA
rnacentral:rRNA from 1 species